AGAGUUUGAUCCUGGCUCAGGACGAACGCUGGCGGCGCGCCUAACACAUGCAAGUCGAACGGAGCUUAGAGAGCUUGCUUUUUAAGCUUAGUGGCGAACGGGUGAGUAACGCGUGAGUAACCUGCCCUAGAGUGGGGGACAACAGUUGGAAACGACUGCUAAUACCGCAUAAGCCCACGGUACCGCAUGGUACUGAGGGAAAAGGAUUUAUUCGCUUUAGGAUGGACUCGCGUCCAAUUAGCUAGUUGGUGAGGUAACGGCCCACCAAGGCGACGAUUGGUAGCCGGACUGAGAGGUUGAACGGCCACAUUGGGACUGAGACACGGCCCAGACUCCUACGGGAGGCAGCAGUGGGGGAUAUUGCACAAUGGGGGAAACCCUGAUGCAGCGACGCCGCGUGGAGGAAGAAGGUUUUCGGAUUGUAAACUCCUGUCGUUAGGGACGAUAAUGACGGUACCUAACAAGAAAGCACCGGCUAACUACGUGCCAGCAGCCGCGGUAAAACGUAGGGUGCAAGCGUUGUCCGGAAUUACUGGGUGUAAAGGGAGCGCAGGCGGGAAGACAAGUUGGAAGUGAAAACCAUGGGCUCACCCAUGAUGCUUCAAACUUUUCUUGAGUAGUGCAGAGGUAGAUGGAAUUCCCGGUGUAGCGGUGGAAUGCGUAGAUAUCGGGAGGAACACCAGUGGCGAAGGCGGUCUACUGGGCACUGACGCUGUCGAAAGCAUGGGUAGCAAACAGGAUUAGAUACCCCUGUAGUCCCAUGCCGUAAACGAUGAUUAUAGGUGUUGGAGGAUUGAACCCUCUCCAGUGCCCGCCAGUUACACAAUAAGUAAUCCCACUGGGGUCGACCGCAAGGUUUGAAACUCAAAGGAAUUGCGGGGGCCCGCACAACAGUGGAGUAUGUGGUUUAAUUGGAAGCAACGGAAGACCCUUACCAGGUCUUGACAUCCGAUGCAUAACACAGAGAUGUGUGAAAUCCUUCGGGACAUCGAGACAGGUGGUGCAUGGUUGUCGUCAGCUCGUGUCGUGAGAUGUUGGGUUAAGUCCCGCAACGAGCGCAACCCUUAUUGCCAGUUACUACGUUAAGAGGACUCUGGCGAGACUGCCGUUGACAAAACGGAGGAAGGUGGGGAUGACGUCAAAUCAUCAUGCCCUUUAUGACCUGGGCUACACACGUACUACAAUGGCGUUAAACAAAGAGAAGCAAGACCGCGAGGUGGAGCAAAACUCAAAAACAACGUCUCAGUUCAGAUUGCAGGCUGCAACUCGCCUGCAUGAAGUCGGAAUUGCUAGUAAUCGCGGAUCAGCAUGCCGCGGUGAAUACGUCCCCGGGCCUUGCACACACCGCCCGUC
rnacentral:rRNA from 1 species